CCUACGGGAGGCAGCAGUGGGGAAUUUUCCGCAAUGGGCGAAAGCCUGACGGAGCAAUACCGCGUGAGGAGAAGGCUCUUGGGUUGUAAACCUCUUUUCUCAGGGAAGAUAAUGACGGUACCUGAGGAAUAAGCAUCGGCUAACUCCGUGCCAGCAGCCGCGGUAAUACGGAGGAUGCAAGCGUUAUCCGGAAUGAUUGGGCGUAAAGCGUCCGCAGGUGGUUAUGUAAGUCUGCUGUUAAAGCGUCAGGCUCAACCUGAUAAAGGCAGUGGAAACUAUGUGACUAGAGUGCGUUAGGGGCAGAGGGAAUUCCCAGUGUAGCGGUGAAAUGCGUAGAGAUUGGGAAGAACACCGGUGGCGAAGGCGCUCUGCUAUACCGUAACUGACACUGAGGGACGAAAGCUAGGGGAGCGAAUGGGAUUAGAUACCCCAGUAGUCCUAGCCGUAAACGAUGGAUACUAGGCGUUGUCUGUAUCGACCCGGACGAGUGCGUACGCUACGACGUUAAGUAUACCGUCCGUCGGGAGGUACGCGAGCGACGUAGUAGAACGACGAAAGAAGUUAAGUACGGCGUUGAGACGUUGCCGACGGCGACGACGAGGGAGGAGG
rnacentral:rRNA from 1 species